rnacentral:misc_RNA from 1 species
UGAACUUCUAUUUCAAACUUUACAUGUUAGUUAAGUUUGAAAUAGAAAUAAAGUUUAGGAAUAUGACUUUGUCAAUCCCAAAUUGUAGAGAAAUUUCUCUGAUCUUGAUCUUAAUAUGUUACCUAAAGAGAACCUGGAAGUUUGCUGUGGAGGUGCACCCGAGUAGAGAUCAUCCGUCACCUGAAGAAGGGUUACACCUAUUUCUUUCCGGACAGCCUCGAUGGUUUCAUUUUUAACUGGACCACCUGAUGUAUCAGUCACGUAAAAGGCGUUAACAGCUUGUGUGCCCCUUGUCAUGACCUCUGCACGGGAAACUGAAAGACCGUACUCCCUAAAUAUGCGAGUUACAUCAGAUAGAAGCCCG